GACGAACGCUGGCGGCGUGCUUAACACAUGCAAGUCGAACGGAAAGGCCCUGCUUUUGUGGGGUGCUCGAGUGGCGAACGGGUGAGUAACACGUGAGUAACCUGUCCUUGACUUUGGGAUAACUUCAGGAAACUGGGGCUAAUACCGGAUAGGAGCUCUUGCCGCAUGGUGGGGGUUGGAAAGUUUCGGCGGUUGGGGAUGGAAACGCGGCUCAUCAGCUUGUUGGUGGGGUGGUGGCUUACGAAGGCUUGGACGGGUAGCCGGCCUGGGAGGGUGACCGGCCACAUUGGGACUGAGAUACGGCCCAGACCCAUACGGGAGGGAGCAGUGGCAGAUAUUACAAAAUGGGCGGAAGCGUAAUGCAGCACCGCCGCGUGCGGGAUGGCGGCCUUCGGGUUGUAGUCCGAUUUCGCCUGUGCCGAAGAGUGUGAGACGGUAAUGGGUAGAGAAGCCCCGGCUAACUACGUG
rnacentral:rRNA from 1 species